CACUUAUGGAACACUGUGUUCAUGCACAUAAACUAAUACAAUAAACAUAUACCAAUGAUGACCCAAAUACGACAUAUAAAAUUCAAACGAUCAAUUCUAUUCUAUUUGUGUCCUAUUCCUGUUAAUCCACAACAUGUAACAGUUAUCCAACAUUGUGUUUAUGCAUAGCAACGAAUACAAUAAACAUACACCAACGAAGUCUCAAAUAUGACAUACCAAUUAUACACUAACAUUUCUACUCUGUUUCUUCUCUGUACUUGUUAAUCCACACCAUGUAACACUUAUCCAACAUUUUGUUCAUGCACAACACCUAUUACAAUAAACAUACAUCAAUGCAGUCCCAAAUACCAUAUUCCAUUUUCAAUCUAACAUUUAUGUUCUCUUUCUGUCCUGUACCUGUUAAUCCAAACCAUGUAACAGUUAAAGGACAACAUGUAUGACUUAUCUAACAUUGUAUUCAUGCACUUGAACUAAUAUAAUAGACAUACAGUAAUGACGAUCAAAAUACGACAUACCAAUUUUACACUAAUAUUUGU
rnacentral:lncRNA from 1 species